rnacentral:rRNA from 1 species
AUUGAACGCUGGCGGCAUGCUUUACACAUGCAAGUCGAACGGUAACAGCACUUCGGUGGCUGACGAGUGGCGAACGGGUGAGUAAUACAUCGGAACGUGCCUAGUAGUGGGGGAUAACUACUCGAAAGAGUAGCUAAUACCGCAUGAGAUCUAAGGAUGAAAGCAGGGGACCUUCGGGCCUUGCGCUACUAGAGCGGCUGAUGGCAGAUUAGGUAGUUGGUGGGAUAAAAGCUUACCAAGCCGACGAUCUGUAGCUGGUCUGAGAGGACGACCAGCCACACUGGGACUGAGACACGGCCAAGACUCCUACGGGAGGCAGCAGUGGGGAAUUUUGGACAAUGGGCGCAAGCCUGAUCCAGCAAUGCCGCGUGCAGGAUGAAGGCCUUCGGGUUGUAAACUGCUUUUGUACGGAACGAAAAGCCCUCUUCUAAUACAGGAGGGUCAUGACGGUACCGUAAGAAUAAGCACCGGCUAACUACGU